rnacentral:rRNA from 1 species
AUGUCGCUCGCGCGGACAAUGGUGCAAGAGUUGGCGGCGACCGUCGAGGAGCCUCCGCGAGAGUACGUGGUUGAUGACAUGUUAGAUGCUGAUGAGAUGCCGCAGCCCAUCCCUCUCAUCGAUCUUAGCCGGCUGAUGGCCGUCGACGAAGCCAACAAGCUCCGGGCGGCUCUACAGACCUGGGGCCUCUUUCUGGCAACCAACCAUGGAAUCGAGGAGUCCCUUAUGGAUGCCAUGAUGAGUGCAUCGAGAGACUUCUUCAGGCAACCGUCCGAAGAAAAGCAGAAAUACAGCAACUUGAUAGACGGCAAGCACUUCCAGAUGGAAGGCUAUGGAAAUGACAAAGUAGUGACUCGGGAUCAGGGCCUAAGCUGGAACGACCACUUGCAUUUGAGAGUGGAGCCGGAAGAUGAGAGGAAUUUCUCAAAGUGGCCCACUCACCCGGAAUCUUUCAGGGAUGUGCUUCAUGAGUACGCAUCAAAAACCAAGAGAACAAGAGACCUUAUCUUGAGAUCAAUUGCCAAGCUCCUCGACCUUGAUGAGGAUUACUUCGUCAACCAAAUAUCAAACAAGGCUAUUGGGUUUGCUAGAUUCAACUACUAUCCUCCAUGUCCCAGACCUGACCUAGUUUUGGGCAGGAGGUCUCACACUGAUGGUGGUCUCCUUACCAUCCUUUUUGUCGACCAAGACGUCGGUGGCUUGCAAGUUGAGAGGGGUGGGAAAUGGUACAAUGUUCCAGCCAAGCCUUAUACCUUGGUGAUUAACGUAGCGGACUGCAUGGAGAUAAUGACCAAUGGAAUCUUUAGGAGCCCGCUUCACAGGGUGAUGACAAAUGCCAACAAGGAGAGGCUUUCACUGGCCAGGUUUUAUGCUGUAGAUGCGGAAACAAUGCUGGAGCCAGCGCCUAGUUUAUUGGAUGACAAGCGACCACCAAGAUAUGAGAAAAUCAAGGCCAAAGAUUUCGUUUCUUUUUCUCGAAUGAAAAUUUCUUAG